rnacentral:miRNA from 15 species
ACGGGUUUCGCUGAUAUCGCACA